AUGUGGCCCCUCUUUUCUGCAUCCCCGUCCUGGUCUGAUCUGAGGCCUCCCUUUUGCUUGGGCCCUUCAUUCACUCACUCGCUGUUGGGGAGCCUUGUGCUCACGCUUGCUGGCUCCUGGGGUGGGGAACGACACCACCACACCCAGGACAGGUCCCUCCCCGCCUCCCCGCCUCCCCGCUUCCCCACCAGACUCUUCCACGGGGCCAAGCAUUCCCUGUCUUUCUCCCGGAGGCCGUCUGUGGCUCCCCGUGUCAUCUCAGGCACUGGAAGCCGUCCCCAAGGCCCGCCUCCCUCCCUGCGCUCACCUGGCUCCGUGCCCCUGCGCGCUCUGCGGAGCCGACACAGCCGCGCUCUGUUCCCUGCGCCCGCCCCGGGCUCCCCUCCCCGCGGGCACCGGGCGCCGGCGGCGGGCGGAGGGCGGCGGGCGGAGGGCGGCGGGCGGAGGGCGGAGGCUGCCGUGUGCCCCGCGGGGGACGGCGCGGGUCCGGGCACGUGCGUGGCCGUCGGGGCCGGGGCAGGCCGGGGCAGGCGCUCCCCCCAGGGCGCCCCUUUCCGCGCGGCGGGCGGGCGGGGCGGGGCCGGGGUCGGGCUGCGGGUCCCCCUGUCCGGGCCCCCCCGUCCGCCCCCUGCCCCCCCGGGCUCCGGAGCUGACACUUCCUCCCGGCGCUCGGGGCCCGGCCGCGCCCCCUCCCGCGCCUGCCCCCGCCGGCCCCGCGGCGCUGAUUGGCUGAUUCAAACCCGCCCGCGAGGGCCGCCUGCCUGCGGGUUCGCCGCCGCGUCCGGCUCGGGCUCGGGCUGGGGCUCGGGCUCCGGCUCCCGCUCCGGCUCCGGCUCCGGCUCCGGCUCGGGCCCGCGGGGCGCGGCGCUGACUCAGCCGGAGCCUCUCGGGGCGGCCCCGCUCUUCCCGGGUGUCGGGCGGGAGGCCGCGUGGGCGGGACCCGGGACCCCGACCCCCGCCCCCGCCCCGCCGCGGACCCCCGGCCCCCCGCGGCCCCGACGCCCCGGCCCUGGGCCGCCUCCCGGGCGCCCGCGGGGGGUCAGGCGCCGGCCGGCCCCGUCGCUGCCCCCGCCCGCCCGGCCCCCCGCCGCUGCCCCCGCCCGCCCCGGCCCCCCGCCCGCGCCCCGCGGCCGCCCCCGCCCGCCGACGGCCCUGCGCCCGGCUUACCGCGAGCCCGCGCCGGCCGGUCCCUCCCGCAGUCUGCCCACCCGGCGCCCCGGCGGAGGAGGCGGCCCGGCCGAGUGUCCGCCCGCGGGGCCGGGGUCGGGGUCUCGCGGGGCGGGGCGGGGCGGGGGCGGGGGAGGGGCCGGGCGCUCAGGAAGGGGCCCCCCGGGCGCGGGGCGCCAUCUUUUUCGCGUUUUCCCGCGAAUUAUUGACGUCCCGCUUAUGUAA
rnacentral:lncRNA from 1 species